rnacentral:rRNA from 1 species
GAAACGACUGCUAAGACUGGAUAAGAAAAGUGAAGGCAUCUUUACUUUUUUAAAAGACCUUCUUUGAAGGUAUGCUUAAGGAGGGGCUUGCGACACAUUAGUUAGUUGGCAGGGUAAAAGCCUACCAAGACUAUGAUGUGUAGCUGGACUGAGAGGUUGAACAGCCACAUUGGGACUGAGACACGGCCCAAACUCCUACGGGAGGCAGCAGUAGGGAAUUUUCGGCAAUGGAGGAAACUCUGACCGAGCAACGCCGCGUGAACGAUGAAGUACCUCGGUAUGUAAAGUUCUUUUAUUAAGGAAGAAAAAAGAGUGGAAAAACUCCCUUGACGGUACUUAAUGAAUAAGCCCCGGCUAAUUAUGUGCCAGCAGCCACGGUAAUACAUAAGGGGCGAGCGUUAUCCGGAAUUAUUGGGCGUAAAGGGUGCGUAGGCGGUUUAAUAAGUCUAUAGUUUAAUUUCAGCGCUUAACGCUGUUGUGCUAUAGAAACUGUUUUACUAGAGUGAGAUAGAGGCAAGCGGAAUUCCAUGUGUAGCGGUAAAAUGCGUAAAUAUAUGGAGGAACAUCAGAGGCGUAGGCGGCUUGCUGGGUCUUUACUGACGCUGAGGCACGAAAGCGUGGGGAGCAAACAGGAUUAGAUACCCUGGUAGUCCACGCCGUAAACGAUGAGUACUAAGUGUCGGGUAAAACCGGUACUGAAGUUAACACAUUAAGUACUCCGCCUGAGGAGUACGUACGCAAGUAUGAAACUUAAAGGAAUUGACGGGACUCCGCACAAGCGGUGGAUCAUGUUGUUUAAUUCGAAGAUACACGAAAAACCUUACCAGGUCUUGACAUUUUCUUGCGAAGUUAUAGAAAUAUAAUGGAGGUUAUCAGGAAAACAGGUGGUGCAUGGUUGUCGUCAGCUCGUGUCGUGAGAUGUUAGGUUAAGUCCUAAAACGAGCGCAACCCUUGUCGUUAAUUGCCAGCAUGUAAUGAUGGGGACUUUAACGAGACAGCCAAUGAAAAAUUGGAGGAAGGUGGGGAUUACGUCAAAUCAUCNUGCCCCUUAUGAUCUGGGCUACAAACGUGAUACAAUGGUUGAUACAAAGAGUAGCUGAAACGUGAGUUCUUAGCCAAUCUCACAAAAUCAAUCUCAGUUCGGAUUGAAGUCUGCAACUCGACUUCAUGAAGUUGGAAUCGCUAGUAAUCGUGAAUCAGCAUGUCGCGGUGAAUACGUUCUCGGGGUUUGUACACACCGCCCGUCA